GCAGUCGAGCGGUAGCACAGAGAGCUUGCUCUCGGGUGACGAGCGGCGGACGGGUGAGUAAUGUCUGGGAAACUGCCUGAUGGAGGGGGAUAACUACUGGAAACGGUAGCUAAUACCGCAUAAUGUCGCAAGACCAAAGUGGGGGACCUUCGGGCCUCAUGCCAUCAGAUGUGCCCAGAUGGGAUUAGCUAGUAGGUGGGGUAACGGCUCACCUAGGCGACGAUCCCUAGCUGGUCUGAGAGGAUGACCAGCCACACUGGAACUGAGACACGGUCCAGACUCCUACGGGAGGCAGCAGUGGGGAAUAUUGCACAAUGGGCGCAAGCCUGAUGCAGCCAUGCCGCGUGUGUGAAGAAGGCCUUCGGGUUGUAAAGCACUUUCAGCGGGGAGGAAGGCGGUGAGGUUAAUAACCUUGUCGAUUGACGUUACCCGCAGAAGAAGCACCGGCUAACUCCGUGCCAGCAGCCGCGGUAAUACGGAGGGUGCAAGCGUUAAUCGGAAUUACUGGGCGUAAAGCGCACGCAGGCGGUCUGUCAAGUCGGAUGUGAAAUCCCCGGGCUCAACCUGGGAACUGCAUUCGAAACUGGCAGGCUAGAGUCUUGUAGAGGGGGGUAGAAUUCCAGGUGUAGCGGUGAAAUGCGUAGAGAUCUGGAGGAAUACCGGUGGCGAAGGCGGCCCCCUGGACAAAGACUGACGCUCAGGUGCGAAAGCGUGGGGAGCAAACAGGAUUAGAUACCCUGGUAGUCCACGCCGUAAACGAUGUCGAUUUGGAGGUUGUGCCCUUGAGGCGUGGCUUCCGGAGCUAACGCGUUAAAUCGACCGCCUGGGGAGUACGGCCGCAAGGUUAAAACUCAAAUGAAUUGACGGGGGCCCGCACAAGCGGUGGAGCAUGUGGUUUAAUUCGAUGCAACGCGAAGAACCUUACCUGGUCUUGACAUCCACAGAACUUUCCAGAGAUGGAUUGGUGCCUUCGGGAACUGUGAGACAGGUGCUGCAUGGCUGUCGUCAGCUCGUGUUGUGAAAUGUUGGGUUAAGUCCCGCAACGAGCGCAACCCUUAUCCUUUGUUGCCAGCGGUCCGGCCGGGAACUCAAAGGAGACUGCCAGUGAUAAACUGGAGGAAGGUGGGGAUGACGUCAAGUCAUCAUGGCCCUUACGACCAGGGCUACACACGUGCUACAAUGGCAUAUACAAAGAGAAGCGACCUCGCGAGAGCAAGCGGACCUCAUAAAGUAUGUCGUAGUCCGGAUUGGAGUCUGCAACUCGACUCCAUGAAGUCGGAAUCGCUAGUAAUCGUAGAUCAGAAUGCUACGGUGAAUACGUUCCCGGGCCUUGUACACACCGCCCGUCACACCAUGGGAGUGGGUUGCAAAAGAAGUAGGUAGCUUAACCUUCGGGAGGGCG
rnacentral:rRNA from 1 species